GGAUGCAGUCUCUUGCAGGCCCAGGAAGCAUUCUUUCAGAGGGCAUAGUGCAUGGCUCCCAAAAUGUAUGUGGCUACCUUCCUGCCAGGAUCUCUGCUUCCAAAAUACAGAACAGUGCUGAGAAUAUUUCUCCACCUGAAAAUACACGGAGGACUGAGGCGUUAGCUCAGUCAGUAAAGUGCUUGCAUUAUAAACAUGGAGACAUGAGUUUGGAUACCCAGAAUCCAGGAAAAAGCCAGUCAUGGUGACAGGCACUUUUAAUUCUAGCAGUGGCAGGAUGGGUGGAGGAACAGGAUCCCUAGAGUUUCCUCAUCAGCUAGCCUAGCUCACUUGGCAAUGUCCCAGGCCAAUGAGCAAGGCCAUCUUGAACAAAAGGUGGAAGGGAUGUGAGAAACGACACCAAGGUUGUCCUCCACAUAUAUUCAUCAUAUGCUAAUGUGCACCUGCGUGCACGCGCGCGCGCACACACACACACAAUGCCUACAAACAACUGAGAAGUGAUGGUUCCUUUUGAACAGCACUCACUAAUGUCUACUUCCAUACAGAUCUGUGAAGGCCAUGGAGGAAUGUGCUUUGCAAGCCCCAUGGACCUGAAGCAGACCAGUCCUCACCAUCCUGUGGACCUGAGCCGAAACCCAGACAGUAAACCAGAUGAGCCUUCCUGUCUUCCAGACUGAGCUUGGGAGCAGCUGUAAACCGAGUUCCCAAAUAGGCUUCUGAAAUUCUCUAUUCCUGAAAGGAGGCUGCCAAUCAGACACCAGACAACCCAGAGGAUCAUUUGUGAUUAUGGAAGUGGCCACAGGCCACUCACAGGUCCCUCUCCCAGCAUUGGAAUCAUGAAUGGUCUGCUUUGGCAAUCCUGUGUUCCUCGUUUUCUCUUGGACCUUUCAGAAAGAAAGAAAAUAAAACCUUUUCUUUUAAGAA